AAUGGCGUGUUAUUUACCAAUUUGUAUGAAAAGUUUUAAAAAAUGUAUCUCAUGAACCGUAAGUUUGCGCAACCGAAAACUUUGCAAAACUUUUUUCUUUUAGUGAGUACUAUCUACAAUAAAAAUAUGGGCUUUUAAAUCGACGGUCAAUUUUGGAAAGUUUAGUCCAGUUAAUUACUGUAAUUAAAUUUAAAACAAUGAAUAAAUAUGAAUUAACGAGGCACGGUGAAAUAAGAGCAUGUCCUUACAAUAUUGUGUAAACAAUAUGUCAACACAUAGUAUUAAGAUGAAUCAAGGUAGAAAAUACAUUGCCAUAUAUAUAUACCGAUCCGAGCCUGAGUAGUCAACACAAGUAUCAUGUUCACAACAUUAUCAUACAAUUGGAAAUGUUGGAGGGAUCCCAUACAUCUCCAUGUUCUUAACUACUGUUUGAAACCCAUGUUCUCAUCUUAUUUGCUCAUGUUAUAUAAUAAUGACAAUGCAAAUGAGACAAUCUUUGAAUUCACCACUAUAUUCUAACUGUUAAUUACAUAUUUAUUUAUAUUUCUAAGCCUCUAUCAAUGCAAGUAUCAAAGACAGGAACAAGAAAAUUAUCAACAAAUUUGUGGAAAAUAAAGAGGUUGUUUUUUUAUGUUUGAAUAAUGAGAUUGUAUUUCUAUGAAGAUCUGGCACAAAGUUGGAGAUGUAGAUCUUUGAGAAUUGAGAAGAUCAUUAUGUGAUGUCAGUGGACCAUCUAUAUUGAUUGGGUCUCUGAUGAGGUAGUUGAAAUGCAGAUCAGGACACUUUGACCUCUACAAAAUCCAUAAUGAACAUGCAGAAUGAGAUUAUUGACUUCACCUUGUUUUCAAAUAUCUUUCCAAGACAUGAUGAUAAUGAAAUUGGACAGUAGGAACUAAUCUGUUCAGGUGAUUUAUCUGGAUUCAUUAUAGGGUCGGAGAGUGGUGAAAGAGGAGAGAGGUCAGGGAGGAUAUUUUUAUAAGUUUAAAGCAUUUCUAACAUUGUCGGAGAGGGGAAACAUACCCUGAAACACUGUAUGAAAGUAAAUCAUAUUCAACACUUUCAGGUAAAGAAUUUGCCAGAAACGUGAUGGACAGUUGUGUUUUUUUCAUAAAUCUGCCUUCACACAAAAAGUGCAUUAAGAAACGCUCAACUGCCAUUCUUUAUUUUUAGAAGUCAACUGUUUGUAGUUCUUUAUUUAAGAAAUUUGCACCACCCAACCCCACAACCCCACCUUUAAAUGUAAAUAUAUGGUUAAAAUGCGACCUCGAUUACCGUGAUUAUCUAGGCUGUUUUUAAUCUUUUUGUUUUCAAUGAAAACCUUGAAUUCAGUAUUAUAAGCAUUUUUUGGCUAAUGUCUCUGUGAUUAGGCGUGUGACGUGGAAUUCUCACCGCCUCCACCGCCAGCAUCGGAAAUACUGGAGAUCUUCGAACCGCCGCCGCGACCUCACUUCAGAAGCCCCCUCUCGAUUCUUAAAAAGAUUCCCUUAGAAGGAACCCUUUCGAGCAGGGAAUCUAGACGUCUGGAUGUGCUCGAUGAGUCCUUCGGUUUCAUCAUUUCGGCACGAGGCCAUUACAAUAUUGUUGGCCACUUUUAGACACCGAGAAAGUUAAUUCAAAUUACAAUUUGACCGUAUGCCGGUAUUUAUAUUUGUGGUAUAAACUGAAUAGACCGAGCGUGGAUGGAGCUUAGUUCUCGAGAUGAUGUCGAUGUCACGUAACCGUUCUUAAAACGAAUAUUUAUUCGUCAACAACUUUAUUAUCGCAACAGUACAGAAUCACUCGUAGGACUUUAUUUGUGUUCGGGUUCCAACUUGAUCGCCUGCAUGGCGA